UACAGAGGUCCCGAGCGUUGUUCGGAUUCACUGGGCGUAAAGGGCUCGUAGGUGGCCAACUAAGUCAGACGUGAAAUCCCUCGGCUUAACCGGGGAACUGCGUCUGAUACUGGAUGGCUAGAGAUUGGGAGAGGGAUGCGGAAUUCCAGGUGUAGCGGUGAAAUGCGUAGAUAUCUGGAGGAACACCGGUGGCGAAGGCGGCAUCCUGGACCAACACUGACGCUGAGGAGCGAAAGCGUGGGGAGCGAACAGGA
rnacentral:rRNA from 1 species